GUGAAUCAUCAAAUCUUUGAACGCAAAUUGCACUCUCUUCGGAGAGUAUGCCUGUUUGAGGGUCAGCUUAAAAAAAAUCGACAUAGUUGCUGUUACGCGGUAACAUUCGUCGGAAAUUGGGUAAUCUUAAACCUUUGGGUUUAGGCGGCUUAAAUUUUUCUUUACGAUUCAAAGAACGUUUCUAAGAUUUUAUUUUUUUAUACGUUAAAGGUAUGGAUCUUAUUAAAUC
rnacentral:misc_RNA from 1 species